CGCUCUCAGCCCGCAGCAAGGGCGAGGCGCAGCUCUCCGUGCCGGCGUCCCGGGAUUUGUAUUGCAUGCAUGUACGCAUGCAGGGAUGGAUGGAUGCAUGUAUGGACGAGGAAAACCGAUGAAUUGGGUCCCAUGUUCUAGGUUUCCGGUCGAGCUUUUGGCAGCUGCAGGGCGCCUCAGGUCGGUGCCUGGUUAACCCCUAAGAUCUGCUCUCGAGGUGUUUGGGGGCCGCGGGUGGGCGCUGUGGACGCGCCCCGGGUCGAGGGCUGCCCACCGGCCGCGCGCAGAUCCCACCGUGGAGGCCCGCGGCGGGGGACAAAGGCGGACACCCCGAGCAAGCAAAGGGCGGGCGCACACAGGCACUCACGCACCCGCGCGCUCUCUCGCCCGGGCCCCUCCCGGUGAGCCCCCGCGCCUGGGAGUCAGGGCUCUGCGCUUGAAAAGUUCGCUUCAUGUAGACGCUGCUCCCUCCUCUCGCCACUGCAUUUAGCAAGCGGUGUGUGAACGUGUAUCACCCUCUCCCCAGCCACCCCCAAAGGUGUGGGCAGAUUGCAAGAGUUACUGCUCUGUUAUUGUUUGUCAAAUAGGGUCCUUCUCUUGGGAGAGGGUCGAGGGGCAUGUGGCGGAUCCCGGGCCAGGAUUACAUUAAUCAAAGCAUUAUUUCCCCAGAGAAGCGGAGCACAAAUGAGAGUAAAUCCUAAUAAAAUUGGAUCGCGGAGAAAUGGAACGCUUUAAGUAAUCUGUGCUGCCUGAUAAAAAUCUCACAUUUACAAGAUGUGGGUCUUAAAAAAAAUUCGCACACCUCUGGCCUCGGCUUGGCUGGUGGGUCCAGGUCAGGGUGGGGGACAGACACUACACGAAGCACAGUUGAACUUCUGAAGUGAGAAAGGAAGCUGGACACCCAUUCGGAGUUUCACAGGCUCAGGUCUGCUCAGGAGGCAUCUUCGGCCCUGGGAACCCCUCGGGAGUAUUUGCGGACCCCGUGGGUCCGACGGAGUCCCCAUCAGUGCCCUGAGAGGUCUGGAACUCUGUUCCUCUGGGAACGUGGCCCCCACUUUCCCCUUCGAACUCUGCUGCGAACGGGCAACUCCCAUGGGUGGGGGCGCAAAGCCCCACUGAGUGGGAAGGCGGACGCGGCCUACCGGCUGGGCAGGGACCAGACACCCCAACGCUGCGCCCGCAGCAGAUUCGCGAGUACCCCCCAACCCCGCCCGGGUCUCCACCCUAGGGCCCGCCAGGUCCGCGGGGCCGUUUCCUAGGCAACCUGGGGUUCCUUCGGCCAGGGGAAGGGUGUGCGUUUGGGAUGAUUGCCGGGGAAGCCGAGGGCGCUGCUCGCCAGCGAGACUUCUGGUACAUUCGGCCAUCCCAGCAGGGAAACAAGGCUCUCGAUCCAUCCACCUUCGUCCCUCAAGUGGUAGGAAACUUUCCGACGCCUCCCGCGGCUCUGCCAGGAGAGAAGAGACAAGCUCCCCCUCCCAACCCCUUAGUAAUGACUGAGUCUAGCGAAGCCAGCCAGCCGGGAGGCAAACUCCCCCUGCCGCCCCGAGGCCUCCUCCAGCCGCUGAGACUGGAAAGCGGACUUGCGACGCCACGCCGGCCGUCGUUGGUGACAAGUGUGACAACACCGUCCCGGUCCUACGGGUGGAGUCUCGCUCUGUCACCCAGGCUGGAGUGCAAGGGCAUGAUCUCGACUCACUGCAACCUCUGCCUCCCAGAUUCAAGCGAUUUUCCUUCUCAGCCUCCGGAGUAGCUGGGAUUACUGGCACGCGCACCACCACGCCCAGAUAAUUUUUAUAUUUUUAGUAGAGACAGGGUUUCACCAUGUUGGCCAGGAUGAUGUCAAACUCCUGACUUCAGGUGAUCCGCCCGCCUUGGCCUCCCAAAGUGCUGGGAUUGCAGGCAUGAGCCACCGUGCCUGGCUUAUUCUUUAUAUAUUAUACAUGGAUAUAGGCAUAUGCAUGCAUGCCCUUGGUGUUCUUGAGAUAGUGGUAAUGAAGUGGGAUAGGAAGAAAUAAUUAUAUUUGCUUUUAUUCACCUUUUUAAGUAUUGUUUUGCUUGUUACAGUAAGUACAUAUUCUCUAGUUUGAAAAUAAAGAAAAAUUAAACGAAUAUAAACUAUGCUGUGAGUGUUGCUUGCCAUCAUCCACUCUGCAGCACACAGGGUGGGGAAUUCACGAGGUAAUGGGAGCUAAAUUUCUGGGCCAUCACUGGAGCCCAGGCUAACUCUGGCAGGGGAGUCCUAGGGGGACCACCUGACAGUCACCUCUCAGGGCACCAGGCUUAUCACCAUCUUACAUUUAGAUAAGGGGACACUUAGGUGACAAGGGGAAGCCGUACCUCCUUGACAGGAAGGACCCUGACCAACGGGUGGGACAUUUCUGUGGGCUGGGAGCAAAUACAGGUCUUCCUGCCAGAUCAGGUGAGGGUGGCCACCUCGCAGGGAGGAGGCACAGAUUAAUUGCAGGGGAAAUAAUUUGAGCUUGGGACCAGGCGCAGUGGCUCACGCCUGUAAUCCCAGCACUUUGGGAGGCUGAGGCCGAUGGAUCACCUGAGGUCAGGAGUUUGAGACCAGCCUGGCCAACAUGGCGAAACCCUACCUCUACUAAAAAUACAAAAAUCAGCUGAGCUUGGCGGUUUGUGCCUGUAAUCCCAGCUCCUUUGGAGGCUGAGGCAGGAGAAUCAUUUGAACCCAGGAGGCAGAGGUUGCAAUGAGCCAAGAUCGCGCCACUGCACUCCAGUCUGGGUGACAGAGUGAGACUCUGUCCAAAAAAAAAAAAAAAAAAAGAAUUUGAGCUUGGUAGAGGAGAGAAAAACUUUUCUUCUCCUUCAGUUCAAGGGCUGCCAUUGCAGCAGGUGAAACAAAGCCCUGACUGCGUGGGGUUUUGUGUUGCUUUAUAUUAGGUGAGCUGCUUUGAGGCAAAACCCUGUUUCCUGUGUCCUUCAUGGGCCAGGCACUGUGCCGGGGCUUGAAGUGCAGAAACAAGGCUGAGGUGACCUCUGCUCUUCUGAAGGUCACAGUCAAGCUGGGGAGACAGAUGGUACAGGAGAUCCCAGACCAACAGAGUAUCGCCACGCGUGGCAAUGAUGGCUCCGCAGGAAACCCACUAGGCAUGAGGGUGAAGAUCAGGGCUAGGACCGCUUUGGACCGGAGGUGCUCUCUGACAGGUCUUUCUGAGCAGAGGACAUUUCAGGCAAGUCGAGGAUGAAGCAGAGAGGCUGACAGUGAGUAGCGGGAUGAAGGAGGCCCAGGAGGUGGGCCUGGCGCGUGUCCUGUUCAUCUGCAGAGCCAUGAGCUGGGCUGCUGGGUGAGGGUGGGGUGUGAGAGGAUGGUUUCCUGUUCAGGAGCUGGACUUUCUCCCAAGUGCAAAGGCUCAGUAGUGUGCUCAGAAAUCCAGUGAUGGAGCGCCUCUGCCUCCACUCAGCGCCGAAUACAAAUGUGCUGAAUGAGCAAAAAACAAAUACAGUAGAUGGAUGUUGCAUGCUCAGAAACAUUCCAUUUUAUUUUAUUUUUAAACUUUGGUUUCGAUUUCUCUUAUAUAAAAAGUCACUUCCAUUUAGAUUUGUUUUCACUGCAAGACCAAGCUACAGUGGGGAGAAUGGGGUCUGGUGUUUAGCCACGUGCCUGCAGCUAGAGGGAAGCAGCUUGAGAUGCCCUCCCACUGCCUGGACCUCAUGAAGUGCUUUCACGAACCAAUCCGUCCCCUUUGUCAUCACCAGACGCACUAGACUGAGCAGGUAUUCAUAUUGUCUCCACUUUGAAAAUAAGGAUGCGGAGCCUGGGAGAAUGGAAAAGACUUGGCAAGGUCUCUGGAACAUGUGCCUGUGUUCUGGUGAGCUUUCUGUGAGCCCAAGGCAAAGGGUGGCCACAUUCAGAAUUGCUUGGGCCGCUACCUGUGGCCUCAGAGGCCUUUGCUGGAGGAGUCUGUGGUGAGCAGGAAGGAGCUUAGGGGUGGCCCUGACAGACCAUCCCCACUCCUCUUACCACUUCCACACAGGUCAAGCCCUUGGUUGCUGUCUGCUCAUCAGGUGAAUGGGAGACUCCACCUCUCUAAUCCCACUCUGUGCCCACUGGGUGUCCACAUCCUAAACUUCAUUAGGACUCCGAAGUCCUGCAGUUGGGGCAGGGACCAAAAAGAUCAAUGGAAGUUCUGGCUGUCUCCCCCGUCCCUACACUUAAUUAUAUGUGGUUGUAAUGAUUCUGGAUAUGCUACCUGUCUACCAAUGAGCAUCUUGGUCCUCUGCCAUCCUGAAGCCCUGGCCCAGCCUCCCCCUUAGACCUGUUUCCAAGGGAGUCUACUGUGAUCACUAGGAUCACCGCUUAUGAUGUGAGGCUCAUUUAGGUGUGUCAGCAUUUGGGGACACGUGUGACAUUCAGAAUAGCUAGUGUAGAUCUUCAACCAGCUUCCAUUCUAUGUUUCCUGACAGGAUUCCACUGGUAAUUCUUUGGAGCAAAACGAUGCUUUUGCAACUUAAUCAUCAGCAUUUGGAAUACAGUAACUCUUGUCUGAGCUUGAAUGGAAAGAACCCACAGUCUGUGAGUUCCAGCCAUUUAGAAAAAUGGCAGUUGCCGUAAGAUGUGAACUUGACAUUUGAAAUCAGCAGACAAUGAGGAGUUAGUGUGAUGUAAAGAGACAAACAUGGGAUUUGGAGAUGGGGAGGGCUGAGUUCCACAUGCUUUUCACUUGCUGUCAUGGGACUUUGGAGUGGAUAGUUUUCAUGAUCUCACUAAAGCCCAUUUUUAUCACCUUUUAAAUGGGGGAUAAUACCAUCUACCUCAUAAUAUAUUGGUGAGGAUUAAAAGAGAGGAAUUAAAAUACCUGGCACAUAAGAAACACUCAAGAAAUAUUAGUUUCUCUGCCCCUUUACUCUUAAUAAUUCAAUUAAUCACUCCAAAAAUAGAACAUUCUUCAGAAUAGACUCCUACCCAUUUGUUGUUGAUGGGACAUCCAAAGGGAUGUGCAAUUAUUUUGUUUGGUGUGUAGUAAGUUGACUUUGCACUUUAAAAGGGGAAAAAGGAAACCUCUGGUACCUCAAACAAUGACCCUUUUGAAGUCUGCACUGGACACCAUUCUCAAAGAAUAUUCUUAUUAACAUACUUUCUUAUAAAUGGAGCUCUACUCAUCAAAUAUGUAUAUGUUAGUACCCUGCAGAGUCAGAGCAGUGCUUGGCAAGCCUGAGGAUGUUUCCCACGUGUGCUGUGGGAUGGCAUAGGCAGGGGAGACCCUUUAAUUUUGUGACAUGGUUUUUGGGGGGGCUCCAAUGUGAGGUACUCUUGGCAUGGUUUCUUCCAGCUCUGGGCCUGUUCUGGGGCCUGUCAGGACUCCCACAUAUCCCAUCUUUGCAGGCAACUCCCUUUGAAGUCCAUGGGAACUCUUUGAAUGGAAAACAUACACAACGGGGUGUUGAUGCCAAUAAGAAUCAGGCCUGAUGUAUGCAAGGAAUAAAGGUGCUUCUCACCCCAAAUAUUAGCUCUUUAGCCCAGAAACUGUGGUUUGAUCAUUAAAUAAAAGAGCACUCCCCUCCCCUCAAAAAACUCACAAUCCACCACCAAAGCUCCACCACCACCAUCCAUUUGCUCUGGAGAUGAUAAACCUGCUAAUUGCUGGAGAGUUUUAAUUAAGCAACAGAUAUAGACAGUGUAGGGCUGUGUUUUUACUUUAAACAUAGCAAUAGAAUAAACAUUCUCAAUUCCAGGGCAACUUGCUAAAUGAAAAAAAAAUAAACAUUACUUUCUUUUGAAGUAUCACUCAUCGGGUAUGAUAAUUUAGAAAAAUAUCUCUAUUAGAGAUAGUUAGAGACCUUUUUUCUUUUUUUCUUUUUGGUUGAAAAUGCAAUCGCCGAUGGAGCGCAAAGCUGCAAUUUGUAGACAGGUUAAGUAAAUUAAAUCACUCACUGUCUUUUUUUUUUUUUUUCCAUUGGCUUUAAAAGUUAAAGGUAAUUUGCAAAGAAAAUGCUCAGUUUGAAUUGGUUUGUAAUAUCUGUUAAUGAUCUUUAAAAAAAUCCACUUAUUCAUAAUUCUGUCCCUGGGGGAAUUCCAAUGUGCUAUCAGAAAAAAUUUCUAAAGUCUGAAAUGUCAUUAGCUAGUGAUUUCUUUGAAGUAAAAAGCCCCGAAAAAAAUAAAUUAUAUAAGGUAUACAAGUGCACAGGACAAUCACUUUGAUGAAUAAUAUCUCUUUUUUUCAUAAUGUUUCAUACCUAAAAAUGCAACAAUUGAAAUUCAAGCUGGUAAAUUAUAGAGCCAUCUUUUGAAUUACCUCAAUGUAGGCAUGCCUUCGGUUUAUUUCUCACAUAUAUUGAGUUCUUCCAUAUAUUUAUAGAUUGUUGAUAUAAGAACAGUAGUGUUAGGAACAAUUUUGAUUAUAUUCAUUGUGUUUACUUUUUGGAAACACAAAGUGUUGCCUAAAUACAGGCAUACAGGUGUUGCCAUCCGGGGAUUAAAACAAUAGCCUAUUUCAAUAUUCCAUCCUGGAUCCCAGAGCCAGGUGCCGUGAAUGGAGGUGCAAAUGCUACUCAGCCCGGGAGAGUUGUUCAAUAUUAGAUAACAGAGCCAUGAAAUACUACACCAAAGGGAAAAUUUUCUUCCUGACCCCAGCUGGUGAUCAGUUUUUGCCUGGAAGCAGGGGAGUCUUUGUAAUACAAUACUUGUCAAUGUUGUUGGUUUGGCUGCUAUAAAUAGCUAUUUUUUUUGGAUGAUGGGAGGAGUUGGAUUUUACUAAACCAGUGGCUACAGGUUAAUUAUACAUUUCAUAAAAAAGCAUUUCUCGUAGCCAGUCUAAAUUUGUUACGUUUUAAUCCCGUUUUAUAUAAGGCUGGAAAUAUAUGAGCCUCCAGCAGGCCCGUUAUUUUUGUCAUUAUUUUAUACAUUGGACCUUCAGCUCUCUAUCUCUCUUUUUUUCUUUUUCCUCUCUAUGCAUUACUCACCUCUUAGCUAAAUUGCAGAGGGUCCCAGUUUCAUUCAUUCUCCCUCACAGGGAAGGCAUUCUCUUCCUCUUCCUCCAGCUGCCCGAAAAUCAUAAGCGUGGUUUUUCCUGUUUCCUGCUCUGUAGCUGACAUCAGGGGAGCAAUGUGAACACAGGAAAAUGGAAAUCAACAUUUGAAACUUUUAAAUGGAAGCUUUAUUGGGUUUCCACAUAUGGAAAACUGCAAAUAGCAGAAGUAUGUGACUCAAUAAAUUAUUCUGGAGUGACCACAUCCUCUAACUGCCUCCCAGGACAAGAAGGAGAAUGUGAACAAUGCUCCUGAAGGCCCCUUUCCCUCAAAGAAUCACUGCAAUUGAAGGAAAAAUGCUCCAUGUCCCCUCUGCCAGUUGGUGUUUAUCAAAGGACAACGGAGGAAGAGAGACAAAGUGCCUGGAUGUGUGUGUUAAUCAAGAGUUGUCAGGACCCUGCCUCUAAAAGAAAGCGCUAAAAUGAUGCUUUUGACAAGACUUUUCUCAAAGUGGAUGCAGUCUAAGGGUUGGAAAACAAGGCCCAAUCAGGCUAGGUCUGACUUGUCGCCUGCUUUUGUAAAUAAAGUUUUAUUGGCUCACAGACACA